rnacentral:lncRNA from 1 species
CUUCUGGUCUCUUUGCUUACUGCUGUAUCCAUCACUUUCUUCAUAUCCUCUUCAUGACUAGGGAAGCUUCCAUAAAAUGAUUGACUGGUGCUGUGCAGCAGGACCUUGUGGUUGAGGUGCUGGGCAGGAAGGUGGGCAUGGUGUGGUACAGCUGUCUGCUCAUAGCUCACAUAGGGUCUCAGGAGGUGUCUGUGCUGCAGCACAGCUGGCCCAACUCAAAGCCUUCACCUUGUGCUGAAACACUUGUUGAUCCUGGCUGAGAUGCACCCAGAGGACAAGCUGGAAGCUGGCAGCUGUUUGAGACUGAGGGAAUCCUGGGCCAUUACUUUUAUAGGCCCUUUUCUACAGGAGCCUUAGAUGAAGGCACUAAUGCUCUUAUCCCUACUGUACUUGUGUGUACAUAGGAAAGGUGUAGAACCACCGAGCUACAGUGAAGUGCAGGACAACUGAAGGGCAUCACAGAGAGCUCAGAAGGUGUGGAAAAAUAAAUGCUAUGGAUAAUAAUUAAAAAAUCUGGUCAAAAUGUUAUAACUACAAAACUAAACAACAGCCCUGAUAACUGUGUAUAAUGCGUUAUAUCUGGGAGGGAGACAUGGAUUUCCUUUCUGUGAUACCACAGCAGACACGGCUUCCAUCUGAAAAUGUGAAAUGUUAAAGAAACACACUCACCAGGGAGUAGAGUAAUUAGGUGCUGAAAACAUUGGCACCCCUGCCUUGUGACACAGCAUGUUAGGCAACUAAUUCACCAGUUCUGUACUGACUUCUCCUACCUACAUUUCCAACACCAUUUUGCAAGACUGGCAGUUCCAGGCAGGCAUAGGUAGACCAUAGGGUUGGACACAUGGAUAGUACUAAGGCUGGUCUGACAGCAGCACAUCAGGUAGUGACUCCAGGCUCAGCUGCUCCAGGAGAAUGGAAGGGAUGGGUGAAAUUCUAAAUCUCACUGGUCCCAUGGGGCUGGUUUUUCCUAGAAGGUCUAAGGCCAAAAAAAGCUACAGUGAAUUAUUUCCGUUUCCC